GCCGAUCCACAAAGGUAACACACAAUUUUGGUUUGAAACUCAAAAAGAGGGGAAAAAGAAAAAAUUGUACAGAGAAGAGAAAAAAGAAUAGAAAAGUGACGUAAAAUCAAGAGGGUACUUUUUUUGGAAAACAAAAUUAAAAUUAAACAAAAUCAAUUAAUUAAAAUUAAAAAAAGAACUAAAACUCCCAAAAAACUCCCCCACUAACAACACAAUCUCACAGAAUCCUACCCACUAACCUCAUCCAACUACCACAGAUUUUCAAUCUCACCAAACUUCUAAAACACAACCGGCACAUACUCACAAAAGCAAAAAUUAACAUGCUUCGUUCACAUGAGAGUUCAAACACAAGACCCUAAGACAAGCUAACACUUUACCACUUGAACCGGCAUGCUCAUUCUAAUAUGAGUUGACUGAAAGUAUUACAUAAGUCAAACCACUAGAAAUAAGGCUAGGAUAAAAAAUAGCAUAAUUUUCCAAAAAUGAGACUUGAACCCAAGACCUCAAACAUACAAUCAAAACACUUAACCACUAAAACAUAUACUUAUUAAUGCAAAAUUCAUAAAAACAAAGUUAAAUAAAUUAAGGCGUUAUAAUAAGUGGAAACAAGAAAAUUCCUCUAAAAAGGCCGAAACCUCAGUAUCACAUUGGCAUCGAGGUCAACGUGUGCUCCAAACGAACAGAAAAGUCCCUAAAAAAUAAAACACUACACAAAAUAACAUAAAACUAA
rnacentral:lncRNA from 1 species